UGGUAAAGCCGCGAAUGGCUCAUUACAACAGCCAUAGUUUAUUGGAUCUGAAUAUCCUACUUGGAUACCUGUGGUAAUUCUAGAGCUAAUACACGCAACAAAGCCCUGACCUUACGGGAAGGGCGCAUUUAUUAGAACAAGACCAAUUGGCUUCGGCCAUUCAUUGGUGAAUCUGAAUAACUACGCAGAUCGCACGGUCUCGUACCGGCGACAUAUCCUUCAAGUGUCUGCCUUAUCAACUGUCGAUGGUAGUUUACAUGACUACCAUGGUUGUAACGGGUAACGGAGUUUCAGGGAACGACUCCGGAGAGGGAGCCUGAGAAACGGCUACCACAUCCAAGGAAGGCAGCAGGCGCGCAAAUUACCCACUCUCAGCUCGAGGAGGUAGUGACGAAAAAUAACGAGACAGUUCUCUAUGAGGUCUGUCAUCGGAAUGGGUACAAUCUAAACCCUUUAACGAGGAUCAAUUGGAGGGCAAGUCUGGUGCCAGCAGCCGCGGUAAUUCCAGCUCCAAUAGCGUAUAUUAAAGUUGUUGC
rnacentral:rRNA from 1 species